rnacentral:rRNA from 1 species
GAUGAACGCUGGCGGCGUGCCUAAUACAUGCAAGUCGAGCGAACGGACGAGAAGCUUGCUUCUCUGAUGUUAGCGGCGGACGGGUGAGUAACACGUGGAUAACCUACCUAUAAGACUGGUAUAACUUCGGGAAACCGGAGCUAAUACCGGAUAAUCUUUUGAACCGCAUUGUUCAAAAGUGAAAGACGGUCUUGCUGUCACUUAUAGCUGGAUCCGCGCCGCAUUAGCUAGUUGGUAAGGUAACGGCUUACCAAGGCAACGAUGCAUAGCCGACCUGAGAGGGUGAUAGGCCACACUGGAACUGAGACACGGUCCAGACUCCUACGGGAGGCAGCAGUAGGGAAUCUUCCGCAAUGGGCGAAAGCCUGACGGAGCAACGCCGCGUGAGUGAUGAAGGUCUUCGGAUCGUAAAACUCUGUUAUUAGGGAAGAACAUAUGUGUAAGUAACUGUGCACAGCUUGACGGUACCUAAUCAGAAAGCCACGGCUAACUACGUG